rnacentral:lncRNA from 1 species
GAGAGAGGAAGGGGCUGAGAAAAGCACAGGCGGAGAAAAGACGAUUUUUCUUACAGGGCUAAAAUGCAGGGGACUUCCUUAUCCUGCCGACUUAGAGAAGCCCGGCCCCUUGUGAUCCAUUGCUGAAAGCCGCCUCGUGUUUGAAAAACGGAUCCGCUCCCAACUUCAGUGGAAGGACAUGACAUGUAGCACGAGGAAAGAUUGUGGCAUAUUACUGAACUAAGCAACCUAGUGACGUGUCUCUUCUGACUGGGGCUUGCCCACAGAGACAACUGUGACAUAGCACUGAGCCCAGGACCCAGGUGAUGUGACUCUGCUGCCUGUUUCCAACAUUCAUGAGAGGAUGGUAACUAUCCCUUGCCAAGAACUCAGGUGAUUUGACUGUCCUGCCUUGUUGCUGCCCUCAGAGAAGAUUGUGAUAUAUCUUCAGCCCCAAACCCAGACUUUCCUGCAGGAGUGAUGCUGACAUGUUCCUCUAUUUGGCAUCUGAGUGAUAUGACUCUUGCCAUGGUCUAGCCCACAGAUGGAAUUGUGAUGUGUUGCUGUACCCAGCACCUAGUUUUUGCCCACAGGGGAGAUUGUGACAUAUCACUGGGCCUCAAACUAAGGUGAAGUUACACUUUCAUUUUCGAACUGUACUCAGAAGGCAUCGUGACAUAUUCCUGGGCCCAGCACCAAGGUGAUGUGAGUCUCCUGCCUGCACUUUGCCCACAAAUGGCAUUGUAACAUAUCUUUAGACCUAUCAACUACUUGAUAUGACUUAUUUUUUUAAAGUGAAAGCAAGUUUAUUAGAGAAGUAAAUAAACAAAAGAAUGGCUACUCCAUAGACAGAGAAGACCUCAGGGCUGCUCAUUGGCUCUUUUCAUGGUUAUUUCUUGAGUACAUACUAAACAAGGGAUGGAUUAUUUGUGAGUUUUCCAGGGAAAGGAUGGGCAAUUUCCAGAACUCAGGGUGCCUUCC